GACGAACGCUGGCGGCGUGCCUAAUACAUGCAAGUAGAACGCUGAAGGAGGAGCUUGCUUCUCUGGAUGAGUUGCGAACGGGUGAGUAACGCGUAGGUAACCUGCCUGGUAGCGGGGGAUAACUAUUGGAAACGAUAGCUAAUACCGCAUAAGAGUAGAUGUUGCAUGACAUUUGCUUAAAAGGUGCAAUUGCAUCACUACCAGAUGGACCUGCGUUGUAUUAGCUAGUUGGUGGGGUAACGGCUCACCAAGGCGACGAUACAUAGCCGACCUGAGAGGGUGAUAGGCCACACUGGGACUGAGACACGGCCCAGACACCUACGGGAGGCAGCAGUAGGGAAUCUUCGGCAAUGGACGGAAGUCUGACCGAGCAACGCCGCGUGAGUGAAGAAGGGUUUCGGAUCGUAAAGCUCGGUUGUAAGAGAAGAACGAGUGUGAGAGUGGAAAGUUCACACUGUGACGGUAUCUUACCAGAAAGGGACGGCUAACUACGUG
rnacentral:rRNA from 1 species